UUGUCUCUGGGGUCAGACGUGUUCUGGAAUACAGAUAGAGACCCAUGGCCAUAUUUUUUUUAAAAUUUUUUUUAAUUUUAUUUAUUUAUGAUAGGCACACAGUGAGGGAGAGAGAAGCAGAGACAUAGGCAGAGGGAGAAGCAGGCUCCAUGCACCGGGAGCCCGAUGUGGGAUUCGAUCCCGGGUCUCCAGGAUCGCGCCCCGGGCCAAAGGCAGACACCAAACCGCUGCGCCACUCAGGGAUCCCGAGACCCAUGGCCAUAUUAACAGAGCUUGUGGAAAGUGGUACUCUGAUAUCAGAUGGAGGAGGGCCAAGGUGUUCAGCCCAGCUUCGUACAGCCAAGGGUGACCAAUGACAAAUAAGAGAGAUUACAAUUUCCGCCUAAGUUCCUGACAAAGAAUUGCCAACAUAAGCCUGUGGAUCAGGGCUGAAGUUCUGGGUAGAAACUUGAGAAUCACCAACGUUCCCAAUGAAAGACUCUUUCAUAAGAAAACAUGCGGCUUUGGUGCAGACUCUUUCACUUCAGAAAAAAGAUUCUAUGAUGACAGGAGAAGGCAGAGAAGAUGGUUGUAAAUGUGGAGGAAUCCAUCCAAAGCCUGAGGCAUUGACAUGGGCCAUGAAAUUCUUCAUGCUCUGGGAGUUUUGUUUUCCUGUACCCUUUGACAUAGAGCUUUCAUUGAGAAGGGGAAAAUGA
rnacentral:lncRNA from 1 species